GAUGAACGCUGGCGGCGUGCCUAAUACAUGCAAGUCGAGCGAACGGACGAGAAGCUUGCUUCUCUGAUGUUAGCGGCUGACGGGUGAGUAACACGUGGAUAACCUACCUAUAAGACUGGGAUAACUUCGGGAAACCGUAGCUAAUACCGGAUAAUAUUUUGAACCGCAUGGUUCAAAAGUGAAAGACGGUCUUUCUGUCACUUAUAGAUGGAUCCGCGCUGCAUUAGCUAGUUGGUAAGGUAACGGCUUACCAAGGGAACGAGGCAUAGCCGACCUGAGAGGGUGAUCGGCCACACUGGAACGGGAACACGGUCAAGACGCCUAGGGGAGGCAGCAGUAGGGAAUCUUCCGCAAUGGGCGAAAGCCUGACGGAGCAACGCCGCGUGGGUGAUGAAGGUCUUCGGAUCGUAAAGCUCUGUUAUUAGGGAAGAACAUAUGUGUAAGUAACUGUGCACAUCUUGACGGUACCUAAUCAGAAAGCCACGGCUAACUACGUG
rnacentral:rRNA from 1 species